AGCGUACACGGUGGAUGCCCUGGCAGUCAGAGGCGAUGAAGGACGUGCUAAUCUGCGAUAAGCGUCGGUAAGGUGAUAUGAACCGUUAUAACCGGCGAUUUCCGAAUGGGGAAACCCAGUGUGUUUCGACACACUAUCAUUAACUGAAUCCAUAGGUUAAUGAGGCGAACCGGGGGAACUGAAACAUCUAAGUACCCCGAGGAAAAGAAAUCAACCGAGAUUCCCCCAGUAGCGGCGAGCGAACGGGGAGGAGCCCAGAGCCUGAAUCAGUGUGUGUGUUAGUGGAAGCGUCUGGAAAGGCGCGCGAUACAGGGUGACAGCCCCGUACACAAAAAUGCACAUGCUGUGAGCUCGAUGAGUAGGGCGGGACACGUGGUAUCCUGUCUGAAUAUGGGGGGACCAUCCUCCAAGGCUAAAUACUCCUGACUGACCGAUAGUGAACCAGUACCGUGAGGGAAAGGCGAAAAGAACCCCGGCGAGGGGAGUGAAAAAGAACCUGAAACCGUGUACGUACAAGCAGUGGGAGCCUCUUUAUGGGGUGACUGCGUACCUUUUGUAUAAUGGGUCAGCGACUUAUAUUCUGUAGCAAGGUUAACCGAAUAGGGGAGCCGAAGGGAAACCGAGUCUUAACUGGGCGUUAAGUUGCAGGGUAUAGACCCGAAACCCGGUGAUCUAGCCAUGGGCAGGUUGAAGGUUGGGUAACACUAACUGGAGGACCGAACCGACUAAUGUUGAAAAAUUAGCGGAUGACUUGUGGCUGGGGGUGAAAGGCCAAUCAAACCGGGAGAUAGCUGGUUCUCCCCGAAAGCUAUUUAGGUAGCGCCUCGUGAAUUCAUCUCCGGGGGUAGAGCACUGUUUCGGCAAGGGGGUCAUCCCGACUUACCAACCCGAUGCAAACUGCGAAUACCGGAGAAUGUUAUCACGGGAGACACACGGCGGGUGCUAACGUCCGUCGUGAAGAGGGAAACAACCCAGACCGCCAGCUAAGGUCCCAAAGUCAUGGUUAAGUGGGAAACGAUGUGGGAAGGCCCAGACAGCCAGGAUGUUGGCUUAGAAGCAGCCAUCAUUUAAAGAAAGCGUAAUAGCUCACUGGUCGAGUCGGCCUGCGCGGAAGAUGUAACGGGGCUAAACCAUGCACCGAAGCUGCGGCAGCGACGCUUAUGCGUUGUUGGGUAGGGGAGCGUUCUGUAAGCCUGCGAAGGUGUGCUGUGAGGCAUGCUGGAGGUAUCAGAAGUGCGAAUGCUGACAUAAGUAACGAUAAAGCGGGUGAAAAGCCCGCUCGCCGGAAGACCAAGGGUUCCUGUCCAACGUUAAUCGGGGCAGGGUGAGUCGACCCCUAAGGCGAGGCCGAAAGGCGUAGUCGAUGGGAAACAGGUUAAUAUUCCUGUACUUGGUGUUACUGCGAAGGGGGGACGGAGAAGGCUAUGUUGGCCGGGCGACGGUUGUCCCGGUUUAAGCGUGUAGGCUGGUUUUCCAGGCAAAUCCGGAAAAUCAAGGCUGAGGCGUGAUGACGAGGCACUACGGUGCUGAAGCAACAAAUGCCCUGCUUCCAGGAAAAGCCUCUAAGCAUCAGGUAACAUCAAAUCGUACCCCAAACCGACACAGGUGGUCAGGUAGAGAAUACCAAGGCGCUUGAGAGAACUCGGGUGAAGGAACUAGGCAAAAUGGUGCCGUAACUUCGGGAGAAGGCACGCUGAUAUGUAGGUGAAGCGACUUGCUCGUGGAGCUGAAAUCAGUCGAAGAUACCAGCUGGCUGCAACUGUUUAUUAAAAACACAGCACUGUGCAAACACGAAAGUGGACGUAUACGGUGUGACGCCUGCCCGGUGCCGGAAGGUUAAUUGAUGGGGUUAGCGGUAACGCGAAGCUCUUGAUCGAAGCCCCGGUAAACGGCGGCCGUAACUAUAACGGUCCUAAGGUAGCGAAAUUCCUUGUCGGGUAAGUUCCGACCUGCACGAAUGGCGUAAUGAUGGCCAGGCUGUCUCCACCCGAGACUCAGUGAAAUUGAACUCGCUGUGAAGAUGCAGUGUACCCGCGGCAAGACGGAAAGACCCCGUGAACCUUUACUAUAGCUUGACACUGAACAUUGAGCCUUGAUGUGUAGGAUAGGUGGGAGGCUUUGAAGUGUGGACGCCAGUCUGCAUGGAGCCGGCCUUGAAAUACCACCCUUUAAUGUUUGAUGUUCUAACGUUGGCCCCUGAUCGGGGUUGCGGACAGUGUCUGGUGGGUAGUUUGACUGGGGCGGUCUCCUCCUAAAGAGUAACGGAGGAGCACGAAGGUUGGCUAAUCCUGGUCGGACAUCAGGAGGUUAGUGCAAUGGCAUAAGCCAGCUUGACUGCGAGCGUGACGGCGCGAGCAGGUGCGAAAGCAGGUCAUAGUGAUCCGGUGGUUCUGAAUGGAAGGGCCAUCGCUCAACGGAUAAAAGGUACUCCGGGGAUAACAGGCUGAUACCGCCCAAGAGUUCAUAUCGACGGCGGUGUUUGGCACCUCGAUGUCGGCUCAUCACAUCCUGGGGCUGAAGUAGGUCCCAAGGGUAUGGCUGUUCGCCAUUUAAAGUGGUACGCGAGCUGGGUUUAGAACGUCGUGAGACAGUUCGGUCCCUAUCUGCCGUGGGCGCUGGAGAACUGAGGGGGGCUGCUCCUAGUACGAGAGGACCGGAGUGGACGCAUCACUGGUGUUCGGGUUGUCAUGCCAAUGGCACUGCCCGGUAGCUAAAUGCGGAAGAGAUAAGUGCUGAAAGCAUCUAAGCACGAAACUUGCCCCGAGAUGAGUUCU
rnacentral:rRNA from 2 species